rnacentral:sRNA from 1 species
UAAUAUACGCGCAGGUGCUUUAGUUGGGA